rnacentral:rRNA from 1 species
GACGGGGGCCCGCACAAGCAGCGGAGCAUGUGGUUUAAUUCGACGCAACGCGAAGAACCUUACCAGGUCUUGACAUCCACUUAAGCUCAUAGAGAUAUGAGGUGUGCUUGCACAAAGUGAGACAGGUGGUGCAUGGUUGUCGUCACCUCGUGUCGUGAGAUGUUGGGUUAAGUCCCGCAACGAGCGCAACCCUUACUGAUAGUUACUAACGUAUUAUGGCGAGGACUCUAUUAGGACUGCCGGGGACAACUCGGAGGAAGGUGGGGACGACGUCAAAUCAUCAUGCCCCUUAUGACCUGGGCUACACACGUGCUACAAUGGCCGUUACAGAGAGGAGCAAGCCCGCAAGGGGGAGCAGAUCUCAAAAAAGCGGUCUCAGUUCGGAUUGUGGGCUGCAACCCGCCCACAUGAAGUCGGAGUUGCUAGUAAUCGCGGAUCAGCAUGCCGCGGUGAAUACGUUCCCGGGCCUUGUACACACCGCCCGUCACACCAUGGGAGUUGAUAGCACCCGAAAGUUGUGAGGUAACCGCAAGGAGCCAGCAACCUAAGGUGAGAUCAAUGACUGGGGUGAAGUCGUAACAAGGUAGCCGU